rnacentral:lncRNA from 1 species
GGGCGGAACCAGGAAAUAUCUUGUGUGAGGACGUGAACUUUCUUGGGGAAGAAAACACAUGCACAAAUCCUGGUGUAAGGAAUAUUUUAAGCAUAUAUCUUCAAUAUCAUUCAUCCAGGACCGAGCAAGACCAACACUCUUCCUCCUCCUCUGCCUACUCAAUGUGAAGACAAUGAGGAUGAACACCUUUAUGAUGCUCCACUUCCACUUAUUGAAUAGUGCUACACAUGAAACUUGUAACCAGUUACUACAGGCGAAAGCAAAUCCAUGUCUUCAGGCUGGUGUCAUCAGGGAGAGAAGCUUUGGUUUCCACAUAAGGAUAUAAGAUCAUUGAUGUAAAACAAGACAUGUAACCUCUCAAAUUGAGAGAAUGGAUUGGAGAGAUAUUGUUGACCAUGUUUUCCCCUGUAUCUCACCUUCCCCUCUCCAAGACUUCCUUGUCAGUUACCCAUAUUGAUAUCAGUUUAUCCACAUCCAUGCUUUCAAGUUUAAACAAAGAAACUAGGCAAAGGCAGCUAUGUAUUCGCUAGGAUUAGGGAGGAGAAGAUAAUGAACCACUGGAUAGUGAGAAGAAAGAGAGGUGGAGAAAGUGAGAGACCCCAGUAACAGAGGACAGGGACACAUUGCUAAGGAUAGGGACACAUUCACUGUAAUAUAGAAGGCCAUGCUUAUAUGUAAAAUAUGCAGUAAUUGUAUAUAUAUGUACAAAAGUGAUGACACACAUAUGCACAUAAACAAAACACAAUUACUGUCUAUGUUUCUUUAUUUGUGACCUAAUGUUUUAUGUUGUUUGUAACUGAAAAAAAAAUUCCCUUCUGAAUAAAAUGUCAAUUUUGCGAUUGCA